rnacentral:lncRNA from 1 species
GAACCUUUCAGAGUUGCCUAGAUGUUGCUCUGAACUCUGUUAGCUCUCCUCUCACUAUCUUUUUCCCCAGGGUUCUUCUCUCACUAUCUUUUUCCCAGACAGGGUAAUAGGAAUGGAAUUGCCUUUUGUUUCACUGAAACUCUGAAUUUAUAACCUGAUUUUUGUUGACCUGUGGGCUCAAAUGAGAGAGGUCCAAGUCCAAGAUU